CCUACGAGAGGCAGCAGUGAGGAAUAUUGGUCAAUGGGCGCGAGCCUGAACCAGCCAAGUAGCGUGAAGGAUGACUGCCCUACGGGUUGUAAACUUCUUUUAUAAAGGAAUAAAGUUAGGCACGUGUGCCUUUUUGUAUGUACUUUAUGAAUAAGGAUCGGCUAACUCAGUGCCAGCAGCCGCGGUAAUACGGAGGAUCCGAGCGUUAUCCGGAUUUAUUGGGUUUAAAGGGAGCGUAGAUGGGUUGUUAAGUCAGUUGUGAAAGUUUGCGGCUCAACCGUAAAAUUGCAAUUGAUACUGGCAGUCUUGAGUACAGUUGAGGUAGGCGAAAUUCGUGGUGUAGCGGUGAAAUGCUUAGAUAUCACGAAGAACUCCGAUUGCGAAGGCAGCUUACUAAACUGCCACUGACAUUGAUGCUCGAAAGUGUGGGUAUCAAACAGGAUUAGAUACCCGAGUAGUC
rnacentral:rRNA from 1 species